rnacentral:rRNA from 1 species
CACGUGAGAAACCUGCCCUAGAGACCGGGACAACCAUUGGAAACGAUGGCUAAUACCGGAUGCCUUCACAUGGUCGCAUGACCGAGUGAAGAAAGGCUCUGGCGCUCUAGGAGGGUCUCGCGGCCUAUCAGCUAGUUGGUGGGGUAACGGCCUACCAAGGCAUCGACGGGUAGCUGGUCUGAGAGGACGAUCAGCCACACUGGGACUGAGACACGGCCCAGACUCCUACGGGAGGCAGCAGUAGGGAAUAUUGCGCAAUGGGGGAAACCCUGACGCAGCAACGCCGCGUGUGGGAUGACG